rnacentral:rRNA from 1 species
GAUGAACGCUGGCGGCGUGCCUAACACAUGCAAGUCGAGCGAGAAUUUACGGAAUGAAGCUUCGGCAGAUUUCUGUAAAGGAAAGCGGCGGACGGGUGAGUAACGCGUGAGUAACCUGCCCUUUGGAGGGGGAUAACACAUCGAAAGAUGUGCUAAUACCGCAUAACAUACAUUUACCGCAUGAUAGAUGUAUCAAAGAUUUAUCGCCAAAGGAUGGACUCGCGUCUGAUUAGAUAGUUGGUGAGGUAACGGCUCACCAAGUCGAUGAUCAGUAGCCGAACUGAGAGGUUGAUCGGCCACAUUGGGACUGAGACACGGCCCAGACUCCUACGGGAGGCAGCAGUGGGGAAUAUUGCACAAUGGAGGAAACUCUGAUGCAACGAUGCCGCGUGAGGGAAGAAGGUUUUCGGAUUGUAAACCUCUGUCUUCAGGGUACGAUAAUGACGGUACCUGAGGAGGAAGCUCCGGCUAACUACGUGCCA